CCUACGGGAGGCAGCAGUGAGGGAUAUUGGUCAAUGGGGGAAACCCUGAACCAGCAACGCCGCGUGAGGGAAGACGGUUUUCGGAUUGUAAACCUCUGUCCUCUGUGAAGAUGAUGACGGUAGCAGAGGAGGAAGCUCCGGCUAACUACGUGCCAGCAGCCGCGGUAAUACGUAGGGAGCAAGCGUUGUCAGGAUUUACUGGGUGUAAGGGGUGCGUAGGGGGCUUUGCAAGUCAGAAGUGAAUUCCGGAGGCUCAACCUCCGAAUUGCAUUUGAAACUGUUUUUCUUGAGUACUGGAGAGGCAGACGGAAUUCCGUGUGUAGCGGUGAAAUGCGUAGAUAUAAGGAGGAACACCAGUGGCGAAGGCGGUCUGCUGGACAGCAACUGACGGUGAGGCGCGAAAGCGUGGGGAGCAAACAGGAUUAGAUACCCCUGUAGUC
rnacentral:rRNA from 1 species